rfam:Gossypium hirsutum cultivar TM-1 unplaced genomic scaffold scaffold3516.1, whole genome shotgun sequence
AGUUAAAAUUUUUAUCCAAAUUCUACUAUUAAAAACUGACAUCGCUGGCGGAAUAAACAGAUAGUUGUACAUGCUGUGCCACAUAUAGCUCAUGUCAACCUAUAGGAACUAAUUUUUAACAGUAAAAAUGGAUUAAACUUUUAACA